rnacentral:rRNA from 1 species
AUUGAACGCUGGCGGCAUGCUUUACACAUGCAAGUCGAACGGUAACAGGCCGCAAGGUGCUGACGAGUGGCGAACGGGUGAGUAAUGCAUCGGAACGUGCCCAGUCGUGGGGGAUAACGCAGCGAAAGCUGCGCUAAUACCGCAUACGAUCUCUGGAUGAAAGCGGGGGACCGCAAGGCCUCGCGCGAUUGGAGCGGCCGAUGUCAGAUUAGGGAGUUGGUGGGGUAAAGGCCCACCAAGCCAACGAUCUGUAGCUGGUCUGAGAGGACGACCAGCCACACUGGGACUGAGACACGGCCCAGACUCCUACGGGAGGCAGCAGUGGGGAAUUUUGGACAAUGGGCGAAAGCCUGAUCCAGCCAUGCCGCGUGCAGGAUGAAGGCCUUCGGGUUGUAAACUGCUUUUGUACGGAACGAAAAGGUUUGGGCUAAUAAGCUGAGCUCAUGACGGUACCGUAAGAAUAAGCACCGGCUAACUCCGUGCCAGCCGCCGCCGUAACAC